UGAGUCGAAGAUCAAAGGCCUGAUUCCCGCAGAGCUGCAGCAGGAGCUGGAGGACACCAUCACCUCGCUGAAGUCACAGGUCAGCUUCCUGCAGAAGAGAGCGUCAGUCUUACAGGAGCAGCUAGAUGCUAGUCACAUCAGGAGGUAGUGGAUGAUAUCAGGCCAUUCAUUUAUGUCCUCAUGCAGACUUGUAAGGCAAGCCCUUCCUGAUACACACACGACCAUCCUUAUCCUCACUCACCGCUGUUUUCAUGCUGCACUCGUCUGAUGUGCCACUUUUUUAAGCCAUAUUUAUGUACCAAGUCAUUGUAUUUAUUUUGUUUUGGUUGUUGUUGUUGGAUUCGUUGUUAAUUAUAAUGUUCGUC